rnacentral:rRNA from 1 species
CCCUUAGAUGUUCUGGGCAGCACGCGCGCUACAAUGGUCUUCGCAAACGGAUGCAUUCUCGAAGGAGAAUGCCAAUCUUGGAAUCUAUGCCUUGGUCGGGACAGUUGCUUGCAAUUUUUCGACUCGAACCAGGAAUUCCUUGUAAUCGUGAUUCAUCACAUCACGAUGAAUACGUCCCUGCCCUUUGUACACACCGCCCGUCGCUCCUACCGAUCGAAGAGUUAGGUGAAUUGUUUUGAUCGAUAGAUUUGACUAUGGUCAACUCUCGUUGUGAAAUUCUGUGAAUCUGACUGUUUAGAGGAAGGAAAAGUCGUAACA